GAUGAACGCUGGCGGCGUGCCUAAUACAUGCAAGUCGAGCGAACGGACGAGAAGCUUGCCUCUCUGAUGUUAGCGGCGGACGGGUGAGUAACACGUGGAUAACCUACCUAUAAGACUGGGAUAACUUCGGGAAACCGGAGCUAAUACCGGAUAAUAUUUUGAACCGCAUGGUUCAAAAGUGAAAGACGGUCUUGCUGUCACUUAUAGAUGGAUACGCGCUGCAUUAGCUAGUUGGUAAGGUAACGGCUUACCAAGGCAACGAUGCAUAGCCGACCUGAGAGGGUGAUCGGCCACACUGGAACUGAGACACGGUCCAGACUCCUACGGGAGGCAGCAGUAGGGAAUCUUCCGCAAUGGGCGAAAGCCUGACGGAGCAACGCCGCGUGAGUGAUGAAGGUCUUCGGAUCGUAAAACUCUGUUAUUAGGGAAGAACAUAUGUGUAAGUAACUGUGCACAUCUUGACGGUACCUAAUCAGAAAGCCACGGCUAACUACGU
rnacentral:rRNA from 1 species